rnacentral:rRNA from 1 species
GAUGAACGCUGGCGGCGUGCCUAAUACAUGCAAGUCGAGCGAACGGACGAGAAGCUUGCUUCUCUGAUGUUAGCGGCGGACGGGUGAGUAACACGUGGAUAACCUACCUAUAAGACUGGGAUAACUUCGGGAAACCGUAGCUAAUACCGGAGAAUAUUUUGAACCGCAUGGUGCAAAAGUGAAAGACGGUCUUGCUGUCACUUAUAGAUGGUUCCGCGCUGCAUUAGCUAGUUGGUAAGGUAACGGCUUACCAAGGCAACGAUGCAUAGCCGACCUGAGAGGGUGAUCGGCCACACUGGAACUGAGACACGGUCCAGACUCCUACGGGAGGCAGCAGUAGGGAAUCUUCCGCAAUGGGCGAAAGCCUGACGGAGCAACGCCGCGUGAGUGAUGAAGGUCUUCGGAUCGUAAAACUCUGUUAUUAGGGAAGAACAUAUGUGUAAGUAACUGUGCACAUCUUGACGGUACCCAAUCAGAAAGCCCCGGCUAACUACGUG